ACUGGGCUCGUGGCGGGCGCUUGUGAGCCAGCUUCUAGGAAGUAGACUGUUGUGGAUGGUAUGAGGGGAGGAGUCCCGUGGCGGUCGCGGUGUAAGGCGACCGGACGUCCGCGUCCGCGCCAAGCGUUGCGUCGCCAGGGCGCUGCCGUCGGAGGAUGGCGGCCCUCGGGCGGUCAAGGAGGGGUGCAGGGCUCAGGCCCGAAAGGGAGCCGGCAAAAACCCCGCGCGACGCAGUGGCCGGAUCGCGCCCGCGAGUGCCCACGUCGUCACGGCCUCUCCGAUACCUUCAAACCUCCAACCGUUUU